AUUGAACGCUGGCGGCAGGCCUAACACAUGCAAGUCGAGCGAGCGGCGGACGGGUGAGUAAUGUCUGGGAAACUGCCUGAUGGAGGGGGAUAACUACUGGAAACGGUAGCUAAUACCGCAUACCAUCAGAUGUGCCCAGAUGGGAUUAGCUAGUAGGUGGGGUAACGGAUCACCUAGGCGACGAUCCCUAGCUGGUCUGAGAGGAUGACCAGCGAAACGGGAACUGAGACAGGGUGCAGACUGCGACGGGAGGGAGCAGGGGGGAAGAGUGCACAAUGGGCGUAAGACUGAUGAAACGAUGCCGCGUGUGUGAAGAAGGACUUCGGGUUGUAAAGCACUUUCAGCGGGGAGGCGUUACCCGCAGAAGAAGCACCGGCUUGCUACGAGCCAGCAGGCGCGGUAAUAC
rnacentral:rRNA from 1 species